UACGUAGGGGGCAAGCGUUGUCCGGAUUUAUUGGGCGUAAAGAGCGUGUAGGCGGUUAGGUAGGUCCGUUGUGAAAACUCGAGGCUCAACCUCGAGACGCCGAUGGAAACCAUCUAACUAGAGUCCGGAAGAGGAGAGUGGAAUUCCUGGUGUAGCGGUGAAAUGCGCAGAUAUCAGGAAGAACACCCGUGGCGAAGGCGGCUCUCUGGGACGUGACUGACGCUGAGACGCGAAAGCGUGGGGAGCGAACAGG
rnacentral:rRNA from 1 species